rnacentral:rRNA from 1 species
UACGGGGGGGGCAAGCGUUGUUCGGAAUUACUGGGCGUAAAGGGUUCGUAGGUGGCCAACUAAGUCACACGUGAAAUCCCCAGGCUUAACCUGGGAACUGCGUGUGAUACUGGAUGGCUUGAAUCCGGGAGAGGGAUGCGGAAUUCCAGGUGUAGCGGUGAAAUGCGUAGAUAUCUGGAGGAACACCGGUGGCGAAGGCGGCAUCCUGGACCGGUAUUGACGCUGAUGAGCGAAAGCCAGGGGAGCAAACGGG